rnacentral:rRNA from 1 species
GAUGAACGCUGGCGGCGUGCCUAAUACAUGCAAGUCGAGCGAACAGACGAGGAGCUUGCUCCUCUGACGUUAGCGGCGGACGGGUGAGUAACACGUGGAUAACCUACCUAUAAGACUGGGAUAAUUUCGGGAAACCGGAGCUAAUACCGGAUAAUAUAUUGAACCGCAUGGUCCAAUAGUGAAAGACGGUUUUGCUGUCACUUAUAGAUGGAUCCGCGCCGCAUUAGCUAGUUGGUAAGGUAACGGCUUACCAAGGCAACGAUGCGUAGCCGACCUGAGAGGGUGAUCGGCCACACUGGAACUGAGACACGGUCCAGACUCCUACGGGAGGCAGCAGUAGGGAAUCUUCCGCAAUGGGCGAAAGCCUGACGGAGCAACGCCGCGUGAGUGAUGAAGGUCUUCGGAUCGUAAAACUCUGUUAUUAGGGAAGAACAAAUGUGUAAGUAACUAUGCACGUCUUGACGGUACCUAAUCAGAAAGCCACGGCUAACUACGUG